rnacentral:rRNA from 1 species
UAGCGAGACUGCCGGUAAUAAACCGGAGGAAGGUGGGAUGACGUCAAAUCAUCAUGUCCCCUUAUGACCUGGGCUACACACGUGCUACAAUGGUUGGUACAACGAGUUGCGAGUCGGUGACGGCGAGCUAAUCUCUUAAAGACCAAUCUCAGUUCGGAUUGUAGGCUGCAACUCGCCUACAUGAAGUCGGAAUCGCUAGUAAUCGUGGAUCAGCAUGCCGCGGUCGAAUACGUUCCCGGGCCUU